rnacentral:lncRNA from 1 species
UCUCCUCAACACAGAAAUCCUCUCUAACCCACAAAACAGCAUGAAUCAAAACAAUAGGAACUGUGGCUGCUAAGGUGAUAACAAGAUGCAAGCCAGCUUCCGUCGCUAUGAGCUCUAUCAUAGUUGCAACAGCUAUCAAGCCAAGCACCAUACUUUUAUAAAUAAUCUUAUGCAGCAAAUGAAAAUAUGGAGGAAGGGCACGCAAUAAUAGCAGGUAAAGUGAUGCAACAUAUGUCAUGAUCACCAAAUAAACCAAAGAGACCUUGCGUUGUGGGAUGAGGGCAAUGAAGAGCACAAUCCACACAAAAUGUGUGUAAUACAACGCAAAGUGCCCUAAAUUUCUUAUAAUUCUGAGAGAAGCUGCUUCUGGGCUUGUAGGGAUGCUGAAGGGGCACACUAGCCUGAGCUCCGGUCGCUCGAAAUCGUCACGGUUCUUUCCUGUCGAGUCCUCAGGAUCGGCCGGCGUGGUUGGUGGUGACAUGGUGCUUGGCCUCUGAAUGGUUCCAUGACCAGCCAUGGUUUGGUUUGAUUAGAGAGAGAUAUGAAGCUUUAUCAAGUAUGUGGUGUGUUAGAGCUCAAGUGGUGUCCAUGGUUUAGAGAAAGGAGAGAUAUAUACGGUUCUGCAGUCAAGGAAGUAAAGUCUUGUGAGUUUACUUGGAAAGUUCAUAGCAAUUGACCCGUACAUAUUGCUUGGAGAACGUUUACUUGUAAAAAACGAGAGAUCGAAAAAUAUUUUCCAUUUAAUGUUUUCUUUUCUUUUCUUUUUUUAGGGGGAGGGGGACGAUUUUCUAUAUAUAAAAAAUAAAAUGAAAAGAAGUAUAAGUGAUUUGUUAUAAGAGAAAUUGAGCAAACUAGGGGAAAAAAAUCAUUGGUGGAUGCCAACUAAUUAAUUUGAGAAUUAAAAUUGAUUGAUAAUUAACAGAUUUGAAAUUAAAAAGGAGAUUCAUUUCGUUGCUUAAAUAAUUAAUGGAUAAUUAAUAGUUAAAAUAUAGUUUUAUUAAAAGAUUAAUAGGAAAAAAAGGAAGAAAUCAUACAUGAGAAGACAAAGUAAAUGGUGAAGUGGACUUGUGAUGGAUAAAAUUGAAGUGACUUCUAAAUUGGGGCUAUACUAGUGAAGGUUUUACCUGGUCUUAAUUUUUAUUUCUUUUGUUUUAAUUUAAUUUCCUAGGUGCUCAAGGAUACAGUGAGUGUUAAAUAAUAUUUAUACAAUUUUAUUUAUUAAGGAUAAAAUAAUAUUUGUAGUUUAAUCUAUAUAUAUAUUCUUUGUAUUUAUGUUAGUAUUAAGCACUCAUAAUAAAUAUUAUUAAAAAUUCUAGUUUUCUUUUUAUAUUGGAUCUUAAUUAUUUUAACAAUGAGAUUUUUUUUUUAAUAUUUGAUUCUUAUAUUACAUAUUAAAAUUCUUUAAAAGGAUAUUGAAAAGAAACUCGGUACCAAAAUGUCUGCUGGACAGAAGUAAAUAUCAAAAACAAUUUUUUCUUACAAAUCCUCGUAUUAAGAUUCAUGAAAAAUGAUUUAUUACAUGUUUGUUUUUGUGUUUAAUUUUUUUUUUAAAUAAUUGAAUUUUUUCACUUUGAAUUAUUUUUUUAAUAUUUUUAAAUUAUUUUAAUGUGAUGAUAUUAAAAAUAAAUUUUUAAAAAUAAAAAAAUAUAUAUUUUUUAGAUUUUUAAAUAAAAAUACUUUAAAAAAUAAUUAAUACUACCAUACUAAAUAUUGAUUUACCUAAUUUAGUUUAGGAUUGAAGAUAUACUCAAGUGACUUAUUGAAAACAAUAAUUGUAAGAUGACAAUCGGUAGUUUUUUGAAUUCUAUGUAUUUUUUAUUUUAACCAUUUCCUUAAGGCAGUUCAUGUUUUGAGAAUUCUAUGUAUUUUUUAUUUUAAAAAUACAGAAAUUUAUUUUAAAAUCAUGUUAAAGAUAAAUAGUCAAUGUAAAAUACUUGUCUUAGUUGCACCUUUUAUUUUUAAUUAUCUUUUAAUCUAAUUAUAGCUGUAUAUAUACUUAGUUUAUACAAUUAUAAAAUUAUAAUACUUAAGUCGCGUUCACCUACAAAAUCAUUAACUAGCUAUUCAAGGAAUGCCUAAUUUACGCAAAAGUGAGAAUUUAAUUAGACUAUUAACAAGAACAAAUUAAGGAGGAAAAUCACUAUCCUUUUUCUCAGAAAGUAUUGUUCAAUGGAACAAUAUCUUUUAUUUUUAUUUUAUUUAUUUUAUUUUUAACAUUAUAUUUAUUGAGGAUUGAGUUUCAUAAUUUAUUUUGAUUUACUUUUUAUAAAAAUAUUUGAGUCUUGUAACUCGAGUCACGAGUCUUAUGGGUUAAUCCGGUUAACUCAUAUUUUUUUUGUGUUUUUUUUUUAAUUAUUAUUUUUUUAAUUUCAUCAUUUAUCAUUUAUGUUGAUUGAGAAUUACACUUCAUAAUUUAUUUUGAUUUUUUUUCUAUGAAGUUAUCACAAUCUCAUUAUUUGAGUUGAGGGUUUGGUAGGUUAACUAAGUUGACUCGAGUCUUUUUUCUGUCCUUUUUCUCUUUCUUAAUUUCAUCCUUUAAUAUUGUUGGAUUGACUGAGAAUUGAGCUUUAUAAUAUGUUUUGAUUUACUUUCUUUUGGGUUAUUUUUGUCUCAUGAUCCGGGUUUGGCAGGCUAACCCGUGCUGGCUCGAGGUUUUUUUUAUUCUUUUUUAAUUAAUUUUUUUUUCAGUUUUGUUUUUCAAUAUUGAGUUGAUUGAGAAUUAAGCUCUAAUAUAUUUUUUGAUUUGAUUUUCAUGAGGUUAUCAUAAUUUCAUGAUCUAGCCGUAGAUUUUACAUGUUAACUUGGGUUUACCCAAGUCAAUCCAAUAUGUUAUUGCUUCAAUAUUUUUUUAAAGAUGUCAUUUUGAUUUUUUUUUGUCAAACUUUUUUUUUCUUAGUUGUCUAGGCCGUUUUUGGACUUACCAAGUUGAUCAGGUAACAUCAGAUUAAACUCUACAUUGUUUAAUUUAUUUAUUUUUGAAAAUAUAUUAGCAAUGUUUGGAUAUUUUCUUAAAAAUAUUAAUCUGACUCGCAGCCUAACACAAGUAAAUAAUUUAGUAUAAUAUCUAUAAAUUUUAAGGAUAUCACAAUAUUGUGAAGUCUCAUUUUACAAGUUUUUUGUAAUAAAAAAUAGAAGACAAGGGUUAAAGAAAGAUGGUGAAGACAAUGCAAUGAAGGAAUAAACAGGGAAAAAUUAGACUAUUGAAAGUAGGCUUAUUUAAACCCUAUAGAAUAAACUAAAAAUAAAUAAAAUAAAGAAAUAACAUAAAUAAUUCAUAAUGUAAAAUUUAUUUCUCACCGUAAUCAUAUGCCUUCAAUAGAAACACAAAUACAUACAUAAUGUUGUCACCACGUUUCGAAAUGCUCUCUUAAAUUAUUAGCAAAAAAAAAUUAAAUUUUAAAAAACAUGAGUACCACCACGUUUCUAAACGCUCUUUUAAUCUUAACAGUUAGCUUGCACCAAAAUCUUAAUCAUUUGCGUUUCCUUUUUUUUUUUAAAAAAAAAGAAAAAACCUUGUCGUGUCAUAACACAAAUUUUGUCCCUUUUAUUUUAAUUAUUAUUAUUAUUUUAUUUACUGAAAAUGAUAAAAAAAAAUAAUGAUGAAAAACAAGUAAAAAUAAAAUAAAUAAAGAGUGAAUUAAAAUUUGGGUUAAGGACAACAUGAUUGGAAGUAUAAAGAUUUAAUUAAAUUUUUGACUAGUUUAAUUAAUCAAAUCAAGGGUUUAAUUGGAGAAUUGAUAAGUUUUGAGACUUAAUUGAGCUUGGAAUUAAUCUAAUUAAUCCAAUCAAGGGUUUUAUUGGAGAAUUGAUAAGUUUUGAGACUUGAUUAAGCUUGAAAUUGAUUUAAUUAAUCCAGUGAAGGGUUUAAUUGGAGAAUUUAUAAGUUUUGAGACUUAAUUAAGCUUGGAAUUAAUUUAAUUAAUCCAAUCAAGGGUUUAAUUGGAGAAUUGACAAGUUUUAGACUUAAUUGAGCUUGGAAUUAACUUAUUCAAGGACUUAAUUGAAAACAUAUUAAACGUUUGGAGUCAAAAUUGCUAAAUUAAAAUCCAAAGAUUACAUUGAAAUUGGCGCGCAAAUGCAGGGGGGCAAUUACAGUUUAAACCAGGGACUUAAUUACAAGACUUUCGAAACUGCACGGGUCAAAACGUAAAAUGGCCACAUUUCACAUCUCAAAACGGCACCGUUUCAAGGGACACUGUUCAUCUUCUUCAAACCAGAAACGAACACUGCACGAUCGUCAAUCCCUCGUUACUCAUGCAAACGGUUGGUCACCUCAUUAUUUAGAGGUGACCGCAUGGCAUUCUCUGGCUCUAUAAAAGCCAGAGAUAGACCAUGCACGCGAGAGAGGAAAAAGCCACGAACAGCAGGAAGAAAAACCGGGGAAAAAGGGCAGAACCGAGGGGCCAAAGGGAGGGGGGAAGAAAAAAAACAUGAAAAAAUGACAAAGAAACAGAGAAGGAGAGAAAAGCAGAGGAACGACACAGAGACGAGGAUCAGCCCCACUAUCAUCUUUGUCCCUUCAUCUCAGAACUGAAGGUGACAGAAUAUAAAACCAGGAGCAAAGGAGAUGCAAACUCAACCCAGUGGAUGAAAGCGUAGAGACGAGAACCGGCAUUGACCAUCGUCUUCACAGUCUUCAGCAACCAGCCUCCAGAACCAGAGGCAGCCGAACAAAGAAAGAAAAGAAAGGGGACGACACUGAGAACGUGGUAGAACCAGAGAUAGAGGACGAAAGACGAAGAAGAAAAAACAGAGGACAGAGAGAGAAGUGAUAUAGAGAGGGACAGAAGGAGAGGUAGAACGAGAAGGAAACCAGAAAAAAAAAAAAAAAAAAAGGCAGAGAGAAAGAAGACCAGAAAAAGGAACAAAACAAACACAGGAGGAGAAAGUAGCAUUAACCGGCCGGCCCUCCAUUACUGUCAUCACAUCUUCAAGUGCAGCAACAGGUAAGCUGUGUUUCCCUCCCUUUUGAUUUUAAUUACAAAGUUUCUGUAGCAGAAAAAAGGGGCCAGCCGGGUAAAGCUCAAAAAAAUAUAGAAAAAUAAAAAAAUAAAAAAAAUAUAUGCAUGAACAAAAAUAAUAUAAAUUUAUUGUCUUAUUUAUUGACACUAGAAUCAGAAUAAAAAUACCAAUUUAAAUUUAUAUUAUUUUUAUUCAUUAUAUUUUAUUUUACUUAGCUAGAAAAAUAAAAAAUAUGUGCAUGUGUAAAAAUAAAUUUAUUUUAUUUGUUUAUUCACUAGCGUUAAAGUCAUAAUAAAAAUAUUGAUCUAAAUUUAUAGCUACGUAAUAUUUACCGACGCUAGAGUUGGAAAUAUACGUAGUUUAAUAUUCACUGGCGCCAGAGUCAGAAAUAUUAUAAGCAAAUUAUUAUAGCAUAAACUAACAAAUGUUUAGCAAUUUAAGACAAAACCAGCAAUGCAGUUUUUCUUAGGCAGAAUGUGGGGUGAUAAUAUCUUUUUUUUUACGUAACCAAUCUCGUACCAUAGAAUCUUUGUUAACAAGUUAUGGUUUUCAGUGAUCAUAAUACUAGGUGGUGAUUUCUUAAACAAGAUAUUUUUCCCAUCAAAAAAUAAAAUGCCAGAAAUCUAUUUUUUCCAUAAAAAAUUAUUUUUAAAUCUAUCGCAAUGUCAAGUGUGAUAACCUUACCCACCAGUUAAUUAUUAAGAGGAAAGACAUGUAAUCAACAAUUUAAUUACUCUAGAAAGUCCUUAUGAUAUAAUUUUGUAUAAUUUUGCUGUUCCAAUUUCUUACAAUUGGAUUCUUGACAUUUGAAUGUUGAUACACCAUUAAUUAUGUUUUAUAUAAAUCUCGUUCAUCUUAGAUUGGCUGUGGUUUUAAUAUUUAAAAGUUGAUUCCUCCAUCUCUACCCCACCUUUAAAAAUUGAAAUUGUCAUAAUCUUUUGACGAGCUUCUCUCUUUUAAGCAUCCCCAAAAGUCAUAUAAUUUUUUUUAUAUAAAUAUAUUAAAAUAAUAUAUUUUUUUAAAAAAAUAUUUUCAAUAUUAUCAUAUCAAAAUAAUUUAAAAUUAUAUAAAAACAUUUAAUUUAAAGUAAAAUAAAUUUUUUUCUAAAAUACUUUUUAAACACGAAAAACAAAUAUACCUAAUAUAUUCAUAAUUAAAGUAAUUGUAUUAAGUACAAACUAUUAUCUUCCCCGCUUUAUUAAUGUCGUUUCUAACACUUGGCUAACGAUAAGCCGUAUCGAGACAAAACACUUGAAGGCAAUAACAAAAAUAAAAUAAAAGGAAAAUUACGAUCAUCACUCACACCAUUGCCUCAUCAAUGAGAGAAACCAAUUCUCCACCACCACCACCAGUCCUCUCCUCAACACAGACAUCCUCUCUAACCCACAAAACAGCAUGAAUCAAAACAAUAGGAACUGUGGCUGCUAAGGUGAUAACAAGAUGCAAGCCAGCUCCUGUCGCUAUGAGCUCUAUCAUAGUUGCAACAGCUAUCAAGCCAAGCACCAUACUCUUAUAAAUAAUCUUAUGCAGCAAAUAAAAAUAUGGAGGAAGGGCACGUGAUAAUAGCAGGUAAAGUGAUGCAACAUAUGUCAUGAUCACCAAAAGAAUCAAAGAGACCUUGCGUUGUGGGAUGAGGGCAAUGAAGAGCACAAUCCACACAAAAUGUGUGUAAUACAACGCAAAGUGCCCUAAAUUUCUUCU